AUUAUAAACACCAUGACAUUAUGACUCUCAGAAUAAUGACCACGUGGGGUAAAGGUCAAGUCUCUCUCAGGAGUCAAGGGGACCUUUAGCUAAUGUUCACAAAUCCACCUUUGGAAAACUGAAAGAAGCAGUUAUGUGAAGUUUUAUCAACUGAUUCCGAUAUUAAGAUACCAAUCCUAGUAAAAUAUUCACUAAGGCAUCAACAUUAAACAUAUUGAAAAGGUCAGGGACUGUGAAGGUGUUGCAGUGAUUAAGAAUUCUUCCUGAGGACUAGACUACAGUUCCAAGCACUCAAGUUAAGUGGCUAACAACUACCUGUAACUCCAAUGUCUGUGAGAUUUGAGGACUCUUGACUGUGGUGCCUUUGGACACAUAUACUCAUAUGCAUGAAUGUGCACACAUGCAUAUAAUCACAGAUUUGAAGAUGCUGAGAAAGCAUUGGACAAAAUUCAAUACUCCUUCAUGGUAAAAGUCUUGCAAAGAUCAGGAAUUCAAGGCCCAUACCUAAACAUAGUAAAAGCAAUGUAUAGCAAACCAGUAGCCAACAUCAAACUAAAUGGAGAGAAACUUGAAGCAAUUCCACUAAAAUCAGGGACUAGACAAGGCUGCCCACUCUCUCCCUACCUAUUCAAUACCUCACGCUCUGCCUUUCCUUUUUUUUUUUUUUUUUUUGCCUUUUGGAAGAGAGAACGGGAGUGUCCGAUUCCGCCCUAUUUAUGUUUCUACUCGGGAACAAAUGUUGGUUGCGUGUUGAGUGUGUGUUUCCUUGUGUUGGUUUUUUAAAGAAAUGGGAAGAAGACCCCCCCCCCCCCCGCUCUCUCUCCUCCCGACACCAUCCCCUCUCUUUUUGUUUGGUUUUGUUUUGCUACGAGUCCACAUUCCUGUUCCGUAAUCCUUGGUUCGCAGUUUUUGUGUUUUCAGUAAAGUCUUCGUUACGCC
rnacentral:lncRNA from 1 species